AUUGAACGCUGGCGGCAGGCCUAACACAUGCAAGUCGAGCGGAUGAAGGGAGCUUGCUCCUGGAUUCAGCGGCGGACGGGUGAGUAAUGCCUAGGAAUCUGCCUGGUAGUGGGGGAUAACGUCCGGAAACGGGCGCUAAUACCGCAUACGUCCUGAGGGAGAAAGUGGGGGAUCUUCGGACCUCACGCUAUCAGAUGAGCCUAGGUCGGAUUAGCUAGUUGGUGGGGUAAAGGCCUACCAAGGCGACGAUCCGUAACUGGUCUGAGAGGAUGAUCAGUCACACUGGAACUGGGACACGGUCCAGACUCCUACGGGAGGCAGCAGUGGGGAAUAUUGGACAAUGGGCGAAAGCCUGAUCCAGCCAUGCCGAGUGUGUGAAGAAGGUCUUCGGAUUGGAAAGCACUUUAAGUUGGGAGGAAGGGCAGUAAGUUAAUACCUUGCUGUUUUGACGGUACCAACAGAAUAAGCACCGGCUAACUUCGUG
rnacentral:rRNA from 1 species